rnacentral:lncRNA from 1 species
CCUUCCGAAACCACCAUAAACAUCCCCUUACACACUGAAGCUCCCAUUCUUAUUAAGCCGAUCACCACAGUCCCAAUGCCCAUCAUCUCACUCGCCAGUUGGGACGGCGUCACUGAAUUAUCCUCCGUCGAACAUUGAACUCUUUAUAAGAAAAAAUAACUCAGGAUAAAGAAACCAGCAUACAAAAUGCCUCCCCCCGAAUCAAGCCAACACUCCUCUGAGG